GGUAAAUGAACUAUGAAGUAAAGAGUAAACAUGCAUAAGGCCCACCAGAAAUCAAAAUCAAAUACACCAUUAGAACCGUCUUGGUCUCCUCUCCACUAAUCUACAACCAAUUUUCCUAGAUUUUAACCCUAACUCCAAAACCGUAUAGAUCCGUUCAAGAACCCUAAAAUUAAAUUCAUAAAUGAAACCCCAACCAUGAGGAUUCAAAGCCCCUAGGAUUGGGGCUUUGAUCCUCCUCUCCUAAUUCUACAUCAUCUUAACAAGAAUUAAAGAAGUCGGAGAAAGAAAAUGAGAACUCACUGGUGGAGCAAACUCGAAAGUCACCGAAAUUCCAGGUUAAUGAUGAUGCAAGAUGAUGUGGUUGGAUGUGGUCUACUAAAAACGAGUGGUUUGCAACCGAUGCAUUUUCAUAGCAAUGAAUGUAUUGGCCCUGCAGAUUUGCUUAAGGAUUGAAGGUUAGUGGUCAUGACUGAGUUGCUUACUGAAUGUUAUGAUAGUGCACAAUGCAUGGAUGUGAAUUGAUGAUGGAAUCUGUAGAAGGAAACAAAGUUUGUGCUGAUUCCUGCUCCUGUCACAUUGAGUAGGAUGCUUAGCAGUAAGAAGCUUGUAUUCAUUUUGUUCUUCCUGUCAACUUUUAUGCAGGAUGCUAAUGAUUGAUGCCCAUAAACGUUGCAGUCUUGAUUAUUGUAUAUUGUUGUUAAUUAUAUUGGCAUGAUGAUGAAGUUCCAAGUUUUUGAAUUUGCAAAUCUGACCCGUGUGAGCUUGCAUGGCAUUCAUACUGAUUAUAUCAAGAACCAGUGGUAGGUACAAACCACAAUUAUUCUUUGAUGCUUGUUGGAAAAGAAAGUUAGUAGUUCUUAUGUGUUAAUUUAAUUGUGUAUGGCAUCCUAAUUUUGAAGUUGAACCAUUGAUGCUUUGGUCAUGGUCAUGUUGUUAAUGUUGAAUUGUUAGCCUGAUUUCAUGGCAGGUUGUAUUGUGAUACAAGACUGCAACUGUCAUGCUUGAGUGAGAAUUUUGGUUAUGGUUGGCAUGGAUUUAAGGGGUAUUCUAACUUGUUAUUGGUUCUGUAGGUUUACUUGCUUAAGCUAAGUUCAUUGAAUGAUGGCCUUGAAGAUCACGUGUAAAUGGCCAAAUCAAAAUCAAGAUGGAACUAGAAAAUGGGGUUAUGACUAGGAUUGGACAUUUAGUGGUUUUAGGAUGGAAAAGAAUUUGGGUUGACUUUGGUAUGUAAUGAACAUUU